ACACCUCUUUUAAUUAUUUAAUCUACUUCCCUUUCUUCUUGUUUCUAUCAAUUUUAUUCUCUUCUCAUCAGGUCUCUCGAAGAUUAUUUAUUAUUCUCUCAUUGGGUCUUGCCCUCAAUCCUCUAUCAAUUCUCUCUCGCUUGAUUUUUUUGGUCUCCGCCAUUACGAUCACAAACUCAUCAACCUUCAAUCUCAGUUCUUCUGUAUAUCUCUCUCCUUCUCUUGAUGUUUUUUGUUGAAUUAUUUUUUAAUGAUGGGCAUUAGGCUGUAUAUUUAGAUUUUCUAUCUUUAAAAGUUCAAAAAUUUGUUAUUUGAUCUGAGAAUUACUUCGAUUCAGACUACUCUUUACCAAAUUGGUUUUGGGUUUUUCAUUAAUUCAGCUUGUUCUUUCUUAAUUAGAUCUGAAAAUUUGUUUUGCUUUUUAACGACUUGUCCAUGUUAACUUGUACAUGAUCUCUAUUUGUUUGUCUUUAUGUGUACGAGCUUCAAUGGACAUCAUCUAAUUUGGAAAGAUAUAAUCGGUGGACAACGUCCAUAUGACCAUAAAGUUUGUUUGACCACAUGGUUAUGUAUAUGUGUACACAUUUGAAGAUUUAGGUGGAUUACGGUAUUCUUAUCAGUAUGAGCGAACAGUAUAUUCUUUUGUGUAUGUUUAUAGAUACCAGGAUUAAAAGGAUUCCAUGUACCCAGAGGCAGAGCAAAACAAUCAAAAGAACAUGGCAAUGUCCACACAGUUACAAUGUAUAAGAAUCUACAUUAUGAAUCUAUCAUAUAAAUACAUCAACGCAUGGAUAUGUAUAAGUUUUAUUGGAAUAAAGAAUAAUAGCGUAGAACCAUUCUUACAAUAUAUUUUGAUUUAUGGAUAUGUUUAUUUUAACAAA
rnacentral:lncRNA from 1 species